GGAUAAAGCGGAAGAAAAUGGAUGGAGGAUGAGGAAAUGCAGUCAUCUCUAAAUGAAAGACAACAGCGAUGCAGAUCGUCUGUGAAGGAGGAGGUCUGUCUGAUGGAGCUGUUCAUCCAUCAGUGGUCGUUUUCCAUCAAAACCAGUAGAUCCAGAGAUGUGGGUGUAGAUGACAUCAGAGGAGAUGUCAGCAAU